rnacentral:rRNA from 1 species
UGAGUAACGCGUGAGGAACCUGCCUUCCAGAGGGGGACAACAGUUGGAAACGACUGCUAAUACCGCAUGAUACAUUUAGGCCGCAUGGUCUGAAUGUCAAAGAUUUAUCGCCGAAAGAUGGCCUCGCGUCUGAUUAGCUGGUUGGCGGGGUAACGGCCCACCAAGGCGACGAUCAGUAGCCGGACUGAGAGGUUGGCCGGCCACAUUGGGACUGAGACACGGCCCAGACUCCUACGGGAGGCAGCAG